rnacentral:hammerhead_ribozyme from 1 species
AUCCAGAUGAUGAGUCCCAAAUAGGACGAAACUCGAUUCCUGGAU